rnacentral:rRNA from 1 species
AUUGAACGCUGGCGGCAGGCCUAACACAUGCAAGUCGAGCGGAAGAAGGGAGCUUGCUCCUGGUUUCAGCGGCGGACGGGUGGGUAAUGCCUAGGAAUCUGCCUGGCAGUUGGGGAUAACGCCCGGAAACGGGCGCUAAUACUGCAUACGACCUGAUGGUGCAAGUUAGGGAUCUUCGCACCUCACGCACUCUGAUGAGCCUAGGUCGGAUUAGCUAGUUGGUGGGGUAAAGGCCUACCAAGCCGACGAUCCGUAUCUGGUCUUAGAGGAUGAUCAGUCACACUGGAACUGAGACACGGUCCAGACUCCUACGGGAGGCAGCAGUGGGGAAUAUUGGACAAUGGGCGAAAGCCUGAUGCAGCCAUGCCGCGUGUGUGAAGAAGGUCUUCGGAUUGUAAAGCACUUUAAGUUGGGAAGAAAGGCAGUAAGUUUAUAUCUUGCUGUUUUGACGGUACCAACAGAAAAAGCACCGGCUAACUUCGUG